CUUCCAAGCCAUACCACCUGAAAACGCCUGAUCUUGUCUGAUCUCAGAAGCUGAACAGGGCCAGGCCUGGUUAGCACUUGGAUGGGAAAUCACACGGAAGGAAGAGGGACAUCGUGCC
rnacentral:rRNA from 1 species